rnacentral:tRNA from 1 species
GGUGGCUCAGUGGUAGAGCUCUUGCCUUGCAUGCAUGAAGCCCUGGGUUCCAUUCCUCAGCACCA